rnacentral:rRNA from 1 species
AUUGAACGCUGGCGGCAGGCCUAACACAUGAAAAUCGAACGAGUGGCGGACGGGUGAGUAAUGCUUGGGAAUCUACCUUAUGGAGGGGGAUAACUACGGGAAACUGUAGCAAAUACCGCGUACCAUAGGAUGAGCCCAAGUGGGAUUAGGUAGUUGGUGGGGUAAAGGCUCACCAAGGCGACGAUCUCUAGCUGGUCUGAGAGGAUGACCAGCCACACUGGGACUGAGACACGGCCCAGACUCCUACGGGAGGCAGCAGUGGGGAAGAUUGCACAAUGGGGGCAAGCUGAUGCAGCCAUGCCGCGUGUAUGAAGAAGGCCUUCGGGUUGUAAAGUACUUUCGGUAGCGAGGCGUUAACUACAGAAGAAGCACCGGCUAACUCCGUGCCAGCAGCCGCGGUAAUUC